rnacentral:rRNA from 1 species
GGAGGCAGCAGUGGGGAAUAUUGGACAAUGGGCGGAAGCCUGAUCCAGCAACGCCGCGUGAGGGAUGACGGCCUUCGGGUUGUAAACCUCUUUCAGCACAGACGAAGCGCAAGUGACGGUAUGUGCAGAAGAAGGACCGGCCAACUACGUGCCAGCAGCCGCGGUAAUACGUAGGGUCCGAGCGUUGUCCGGAAUUAUUGGGCGUAAAGGGCUCGUAGGCGGUCUGUCGCGUCGGGAGUGAAAACCAGGUGCUUAACCCCUGGCCUGCUUUCGAUACGGGCAGACUAGAGGUACUCAGGGGAGAAUGGAAUUCCUGGUGUAGCGGUGAAAUGCGCAGAUAUCAGGGGGACC